rnacentral:misc_RNA from 1 species
CUCCGGCAGAGAAAACAAUUCAGGACAUCUAAUGAUCUCCAGCCUUUUAAGUGAUGUUAGACUUCGCGUCCAGUCUGGUAAUGCUGUGAAGUUAGGACAAUCAUCAAUGUAUAUGUAUUGUAAGGUGGACGCACAUCCUUGAAGUGAGUGGGGCAAAGUCACCAACUGUGGUAAUUCUCCAAUGACCAAUGAAGUAAGGCUCAGAUCGAAAUCUUCAUUGUAUUCCAUUUCCAUCAAGUUAAGCUUUGCACAGUCACCAAUUACCAAGGUCUCUAAAGCGGACAGGUGCUUUAAACUGUGAGGCAAACAAGUCAAGCUUCCACAGGAAGUUAUCACCAAUGUUCUAAGUGAUGUGAGGAACUGCAUACCUUCAAACAAAUGUUCCAAAU